rnacentral:lncRNA from 1 species
GAGCCUAUUUCAUUUGUUUCCGGUCUUGGUUGAUAGACUGGUUCUAGGAACGUGUCUCUUCCAGCGACUGCUACUUGUACUUAGGCCUUUUAUUCAACAUUACUAUCUGUUAUUGGAUUGUGUACCACUCACAUAUAUUUGGCCCUCCUAGCUCAACAUAACGACACAUGUUCUUGAUCCUUGCAAUCGUUGCCAACGUUGUUUUUGUUAUCCUUUGUUUGCUAGUAAUAACCUUAUAAGAGCAUGGUAAGGAGCACCAUAUUGCCUGAGGUUUUGAGAGGCACCACUACACCGUGUAGUAGAUUAUUAGGGAUAACCUUCACUGUUGGUUUAUGUUUUGUGACAAGUCUGGGUGGCGCUCAAUAUCUACAAUACCAAUAAGGUAACAAUAAUCAUGUGCCCGAUGAUCCUCAUGCUAAGGUUAAGAUUCAAAUACCCUACACGAAAGCCAAGAUUAGUAAGGGUAAUACAGAUGGCCCAAGCUAUCUUGCAGAAACCUGCAUCCUAAAGCUUCCUAUUCCUAAAGUACACUUGUUUGGUUCCUACUUCAUAAAUCAUACAGAUUUAUGGAGACAAAUGUGAGAAAUGGCUAUUUCUUUGUAAUGCAUAGG